rnacentral:sRNA from 1 species
GAUGUGGUACCACAGAUUGUCCCACCUACACAGCAGGCUUCAGGACUUGCUGAAGGGAGGAGUCAUAUAUCCGGCCCUUCCACAGCCCAACUUCAAAAGCUUACUUCCUUU